rnacentral:rRNA from 1 species
CCGACGGUGAGGGACGAAAGCUGGGGGCACGAACCGGAUUAGAUACCCGGGUAGUCCCAGCCGUAAACGAUGCUCGCUAGGUGUCUGGGAUGGUGCGACCGUUUCAGGUGCCGCAGGGAAGCCGUGAAGCGAGCCACCUGGGAAGUACGGCCGCAAGGCUGAAACUUAAAGGAAUUGGCGGGGGAGCACUACAACGGGUGGAGCCUGCGGUUUAAUUGGACUCAACGCCGGAAAACUCACCUGGGGC